rnacentral:rRNA from 1 species
UUUUAGAGUUUGAUCCUGGCUCAGAAUGAACGCUUUUUAUUUGCUUAACACAUGCGAGUCGAACGUUUUCUUUUUUGAAUAAGGUGGCGCACGGGUGAGUAACGCGAAAGCAUUUACUUUAUAACUAUUGUACGCUUUUUAAUUAAAGACAAAUACAAAAUAACGUUGAAUAGUGACCAAAGAUUAAAUUGUUAUAAAAUAAGCUUUCGUAAGAUUAGGUAGUUGGUGGACUAAGAGCUUACCAAGCCAAAGAUCUUUUAUUGAUCUGAGAGGAUGACCAGUCACACUAGAACUGAGAUAAGGACUAGACUUUUGCGAAAGGCAGCAGUGGGGAAUUUUGAACAAUGAGCGCAAGGCUUGAUUCAGCAAUAUAAAGUGGGUGACGACAGCUGUUUGGUUGUAAAGCUCUUUUGUCAAUAAGGAUUAUGACUUUAUUUGAAAAAAAAACCCCGGCUAAUUUCGUGCCAGCAGCCGCGGUGAUACGAAAGGGGUUAGUGUUAUUCAAUCUUAUUGGGCGUAAAGAGUGCGUAGGUUGUAAUUCAAUGAUUUGAAGUAAAAGUUUAAUUUGAUUAUUAAAAUUGUCUUUUUAAACAGAUUGCUAGAGUAAAUUAGAGGGUUUUGGAAUUUCAAGUGGAGAAAUAAAAUUCGUAGAGUUUUGAAGGAAUAUCAAAUGCGAAGGCAAGAGCCUGGCUUUUAACUGACGCUAAUGCACGAAAGUAUAGGUAUCAACCAGGAUUAGUGACCCUGCUAGUCUAUACUGUAAACUAUAAACAUUAAUUUUUGGAAUCUUAAAUUCAGAGGUUUAGCUAACGCGUUAAAUGUUUCGCCUGAGGAGUACGCCGGCAACGUUAAAACUCAAAGGAAUUGACGGGGAUCUAUACAAUCUGCGGAAUAUGUGAUUUAAUUCGUAAGUACACGCAAAACCUUACCAACUUUUGCAUAUUUGCAUAGUAAACAUUUUAAUAUUUUUGUCGUAAAUACAGGUGCUGCAUGGCUGUCGUCAGCUCGUGUUUUGAAAUGUUAGGUUAAGUCCAGUAACGAGCGAAACCCUUUUUUCUUAUUGCAAAUAAAAA